rnacentral:rRNA from 1 species
UACGUAGGGGGCGAGCGUUGUCCGGAUUUAUUGGGCGUAAAGAGCGUGUAGGCGGCCAGGUAGGUCUGCUGUGAAAACUCGAGGCUCAACCUCGAGACGUCGGCGGAAACCAUCUGGCUAGAGUCCGGAAGAGGAGAGUGGAAUUCCUGGUGUAGCGGUGAAAUGCGCAGAUAUCAGGAAGAACACCGGUGGCGAAGGCGGCAUCCUGGACCGGCAUUGACGCUGAGGCGCGAAAGCUAGGGGAGCAAACGGG